rnacentral:tRNA from 1 species
CGCGGGUUGGAGCAGUUGGCAGCUCGUUGGGUUCAUUGCCCAAAGGUCGCACGUUCGAGCCGUGCACCCGCAA